rnacentral:rRNA from 1 species
AUUGAACGCUGGCGGCAGGCUUAACACAUGCAAGUCGAGCGGAGAUGAGGUGCUUGCACCUUAUCUUAGCGGCGGACGGGUGAGUAAUGCUUAGGAAUCUGCCAUUUAGUGGGGGACAACAUUCCGAAAGGAAUGCUAAUACCGCAUACGUCCUACGGGAGAAAGCAGGGGAUCUUCGGACCUUGCGCUAAAUGAUGAGCCUAAGUCGGAUUAGCUAGUUGGUGGGGUAAAGGCCUACCAAGGCGACGAUCUGUAGCGGGUCUGAGAGGAUGAUCCGCCAGACUGGGACUGAGACACGGCCCAGACUCCUACGGGAGGCAGCAGUGGGGAAUAUUGGACAAUGGGCGGAAGCCUGAUCCAGCCAGCCGCGUGUGUGAAGAAGGCCUUUUGGUUGUAAAGCACUUUAAGCGAGGAGGAGGCUACUAGUACUAAUACUACUGGAUAGUGGACGUUACUCGCAGAAUAAGCACCGGCUAACUCUGUGCCAGCAGCCGCCGUAA